GUUUAUAUAAAGGAGAAGGAUCUUCAAAAGUGUGCCCUUGGCGUACCCAUUUUUGCAAACGGGUAUAUAUAUAUAUUUAUGGAGCUGAUAAUUUACACUCGCGUGUAAGUUAGCAAAUUACAUCCAUUAGUUUUUUACUAAAAAAAACCAACACUAUCAUUUUGCCAAGUGCCAACUACUCAAAUAUGGGGUAUUAAUGUAAUUUGAUAUAUAGAUUUAGUUUUUGAAUUUAUAUCACCUGCAUUUAUUAUCUUCUUCCCCAGCAAUGUUUGUCUCUUUUUCUUCUUCUUAUUCUAGAACAAAUUGAGCAUAAAUGCUUCCCAUGAUAAUUAUGAAAGAAAGAACUUGAACAUCAAUAAUAUAGAAACGUGAUGAUUUAGCAAAUCCAUUAAAUCAUUCACGAGUAAUGAUUCAGUAAAGCAUUUUAAAACAUUAUUCAAUUUAUAAAUGUUUGUAACAAAAAGAUAACAGUGAGGAUUGGGGAGAUGAUGCAAAGAAGGAGUUCAAAAAAGAACCAGGUGGG
rnacentral:lncRNA from 1 species